UACGGGGGGGGCAAGCGUUGUUCGGAAUUACUGGGCGUAAAGGGUUCGUAGGUGGCCGACUAAGUCAGACGUGAAAUCCCUCAGCUCAACUGGGGAACUGCGUCUGAGACUGGCCGGCUUGAGUGCAGGAGAGGAACGCGGAAUUCCAGGUGUAGCGGUGAAAUGCGUAGAUAUCUGGAGGAAUACCGGUGGCGAAGGCGGCAUCCUGGACCGGCAUUGACGCUGAGGAGCGAAAGCUAGGGGAGCAAACGGG
rnacentral:rRNA from 1 species